UACGGGGGGGGCAAGCGUUGUUCGGAAUUACUGGGCGUAAAGGGUGCGUAGGCGGUUGUUUAAGUCUGUUGUGAAAUCCCCGGGCUCAACCUGGGAAUGGCAAUGGAUACUGGGCAGCUAGAGUGUGUCAGAGGAUGGUGGAAUUCCCGGUGUAGCGGUGAAAUGCGUAGAUAUCAGGAGGAACACCUGUGGUGUAGACGGCUUACUGGACCGCAACUGACGCUGAGACACGAAAGCGUGGGUAGCAAACAGG
rnacentral:rRNA from 1 species